AGCGAACGCUGGCGGCAGGCCUAACACAUGCAAGUCGAACGGAUCCUUCGGGAUUAGUGGCGGACGGGUGAGUAACACGUGGGAACGUGCCCUUUGGUUCGGAACAACUCAGGGAAACUUGAGCUAAUACCGGAUGUGCCCUUCGGGGGAGAGAUUUAUCGCCAUUGGAGCGGCCCGCGUCUGAUUAGCUAGUUGGUGGGGUAAAGGCCCACCAAGGCGACGAUGAGUAGCCGGUCUGAGAGGAUGAUCAGCCACAUUGGGACUGAGACACGGCCCAAACUCCUACGGGAGGCAGCAGUGGGGAAUCUUGCGCAAUGGGCGAAAGCCUGACGCAGCCAUGCCGCGUGAAUGAUGAAGGUCUUAGGAUUGUAAAAUUCUUUCACCGGGGACGAUAAUGACGGUACCCGGAGAAGAAGCCCCGGCUAACUUCGUGCCAGCCGCCGCGGUAA
rnacentral:rRNA from 1 species